GGAGGAAAAGAAACCAACUGGGAUUACCUUAGUAACGGCGAGUGAAGCGGUAAAAGCUCAAAUUUGAAAUCUGGUACUUUCAGUGCCCGAGUUGUAAUUUGUAGAAUUUGUCUUUGAUUAGGUCCUUGUCUAUGUUCCUUGGAACAGGACGUCAUAGAGGGUGAGAAUCCCGUUUGGCGAGGAUACCUUUUCUYUGUAAGACUUUUUCGAAGAGUCGAGUUGUUUGGGAAUGCAGCUCAAAGUGGGUGGUAAAUUCCAUCUAAAGCUAAAUAUUGGCGAGAGACCGAUAGCGAACAAGUACAGUGAUGGAAAGAUGAAAAGAACUUUGAAAAGAGAGUGAAAAAGUACGUGAAAUUGUUGAAAGGGAAGGGCAUUUGAUCAGACAUGGUGUUUUUUUAAUGUGCAAGUCUCUCGUGGACAUGUGCCUCUGGAAAUUAACACUGGGCCAACAUCAGUUCUGGCGGCAGGAUAAAUCAUUAAGAAUGUAGCUACCUCGGUAGUGUUAUAGCUUUUUGGAAUACUGCCAGCUGGGAUUGAGGACUGCGCUUCGGCAAGGAUGUUGGCAUAAUGGUUAAAUGCCGCCCGUCUUGA
rnacentral:rRNA from 1 species